rnacentral:rRNA from 1 species
UACGUAGGGGGCGAGCGUUGUCCGGAAUCAUUGGGCGUAAAGAGCUCGUAGGCGGUUCAGCAAGUCGGCUGUGAAAUCCCGAGGCUCAACCUCGGAACUGCAGUCGAUACUGCUGUGACUCGAGUCCGGUAGAGGAGAAUGGAAUUCCCGGUGUAGCGGUGAAAUGCGCAGAUAUCGGGAGGAACACCAGUAGCGAAGGCGGUUCUCUGGGCCGGUACUGACGCUGAGGAGCGAAAGCGUGGGGAGCAAACAGG